rnacentral:rRNA from 1 species
GGGGAAUAUUGGACAAUGGGCGCAAGCCUGAUCCAGCCACGCCGCGUGGGUGAUGAAGGCCUUCGGGUCGUAAAGCUCUGUGGGGAGGGACGAACCGCUGGAUGUUCAUAGCAUCCAGCAUGACGGUACCUCCUUAGCAAGCACCGGCCAACUUCGUGCCAGCAGCCGCGGUAAUACGACGGGGGCUAGCGUUGUUCGGAUUUACUGGGCGUAAAGCGCACGUAGGCGGAUUGUUAAGUCGGGGGUGAAAUCCUGGAGCUCAACUUCAGAAUUGCCUUCGAUACUGGCUUUCUAGAGGCUGGAAGAGGUUAGUGGAAUUCCCAGUGUAGAGGUGAAAUUCGUAGAUAUUGGGAAGAACACCAGUGGCGAAGGCGGCUAACUGGUCCAGAUCUGACGCUGAGGUGCGAAAGCGUGGGGAGCAAA